AUUGAACGCUGGCGGCAGGCCUAACACAUGCAAGUCGAACGAGUGGCGGACGGGUGAGGAAUGUCUGGGAAACUGCCCGAUGGCGGGGGAUAACUACUGGCAACGGUAGCUAAUACCGCAUACCAUCGGAUGUGCCCAGAUGGGAUUAGCUAGUAGGUGGGGUAACGGCUCACCUAGGCGACGAUCCCUAGCUGGUCUGAGAGGAUGACCAGCACCAUGGGAACUGAGACACGGUCCCGGCUCCUACGGGAGGCAGGAGUGGGGAAUAUUGCACAAUGGGCGCAAUCCUGAUGCAGCCAUGCCGCGUGUAUGAAGAAGGCCGUCGGGUUGUAAAGUACUUUCAGCGAGGAGGCGUUACUCGCAGAAGAAGCACCGGCUAACUCCGUGCCAGCAGCCGCGGUAAUUC
rnacentral:rRNA from 1 species